rnacentral:tRNA from 1 species
AGCAGCUUGGCUCAGUGGAAAGAGCAUGGACUUGAAAGUCAGAGGUCAUGGGUUUGAAUCCCAACUCUGCCA